GGCUACGGCCAUAUCACGAUGAAUUCACCUCAUCCCGUCCGAUUUGAGAAGUUAAGCAUCGUCGAGCCACAUCAGUACUGAGGUUGGAGACAACUUGGGAACCUGUGGUGCUGUAGUCU
rnacentral:rRNA from 1 species